AGGUAAGCUACUAAGAGCGAAUGGUGGAUGCCUUGACUGGUAAAGGCGAUGAAGGACGUACUAGACUGCGAUAAGCUACGGGGAGCUGUCAAGAAGCUUUGAUCCGUAGAUUUCCGAAUGGGGCAACCCAAUGUAUAGAGAUAUACAUUACCUAUAUAGGAGCGAACGAGGGGAAUUGAAACAUCUUAGUACCCUCAGGAAAAGAAAUCAAUAGAGAUUGCGUCAGUAGCGGCGAGCGAAAGCGCAAGAGGGCAAACCCAGUGCUUGCACUGGGGGUUGUAGGACUGCAAUGUGCAAGAGGUAAGUUUAGCAGAACAUUCUGGAAAGUAUAACCAUAGAGGGUGAUAGUCCCGUAUGCGAAAAACAAACCUUAGCUAGCAGUAUCCUGAGUAGGGCGGGACACGAGGAAUCCUGUCUGAAUCCGGGUCGACCACGAUCCAACCCUAAAUACUAAUACCAGAUCGAUAGUGCACAAGUACCGUGAGGGAAAGGUGAAAAGAACUGAGGUGAUCAGAGUGAAAUAGAACCUGAAACCAUUUGCUUACAAUCAUUCAGAGCCCUAUGUAGCAAUACAGGGUGAUGGACUGCCUUUUGCAUAAUGAGCCUGCGAGUUGUGGUGUCUGGCAAGGUUAAGCAAACGCGAAGCCGUAGCGAAAGCGAGUCUGAAUAGGGCGCUUAGUCAGAUGCUGCAGACCCGAAACGAAGUGAUCUAUCCAUGAGCAAGUUGAAGCUAGUGUAAGAACUAGUGGAGGACUGAACCCAUAGGCGUUGAAAAGCCCCGGGAUGACUUGUGGAUAGGGGUGAAAGGCCAAUCAAACUUCGUGAUAGCUGGUUCUCUCCGAAAUAUAUUUAGGUAUAGCGUUGUGUCGUAAUAUAAGGGGGUAGAGCACUGAAUGGGCUAGGGCAUACACCAAUGUACCAAACCCUAUCAAACUCCGAAUACCUUAUAUGUAAUCACAGCAGUCAGGCGGCGAGUGAUAAAAUCCGUCGUCAAGAGGGAAACAACCCAGACUACCAGCUAAGGUCCCUAAAUCUUACUUAAGUGGAAAACGAUGUGAAGUUACUUAAACAACCAGGAGGUUGGCUUAGAAGCAGCCAUCCUUUAAAGAAAGCGUAAUAGCUCACUGGUCUAGUGAUUUUGCGCGGAAAAUAUAACGGGGCUAAAGUAAGUACCGAAGCUGUAGACUUAGUUUACUAAGUGGUAGGAGAGCGUUCUAUUUGCGUCGAAGGUAUACCGGUAAGGAGUGCUGGAGCGAAUAGAAGUGAGCAUGCAGGCAUGAGUAGCGAUAAUUAAUGUGAGAAUCAUUAACGCCGUAAACCCAAGGUUUCCUACGCGAUGCUCGUCAUCGUAGGGUUAGUCGGGUCCUAAGUCGAGUCCGAAAGGGGUAGACGAUGGCAAAUUGGUUAAUAUUCCAAUACCAACAUUAGUGUGCGAUGGAAGGACGCUUAGGGCUAAGGGGGCUAGCGGAUGGAAGUGCUAGUCUAAGGUCGUAGGAGGUUGUACAGGCAAAUCCGUAUAACAAUACUCCGAGAACUGAAAGGCUUUUUGAAGUCUUCGGAUGGAUAGAAGAACCCCUGAUGCCGUCGAGCCAAGAAAAGUUUCUAAGUUUAGCUAAUGUUGCCCGUACCGUAAACCGACACAGGUGGGUGGGAUGAGUAUUCUAAGGCGCGUGGAAGAACUCUCUUUAAGGAACUCUGCAAAAUAGCACCGUAUCUUCGGUAUAAGGUGUGGUUAGCUUUGUAUUAGGAUUUACUCCGAAAGCAAGGAAACUUACAACAAAGAGUCCCUCCCGACUGUUUACCAAAAACACAGCACUCUGCUAACUCGUAAGAGGAUGUAUAGGGUGUGACGCCUGCCCGGUGCUCGAAGGUUA
rnacentral:rRNA from 1 species